GAGUUCCACACAUCAUUCCUCACACUCGAAUUUCGCAAUUUGGAAAAAUUCAGUGUAUUACAAAAUCUGUCACUGCGUACCGUACACGGGCCCGCGUACCGGUACACCUCCCACGAAAACGCCAAACCCGAGCCUCGGGUUGGCUCAAAACUGUCUGUGUACCGGUACACCAUCGGCCCUGUACCGGUACAGCCAUCAACCCUGUACCGGUACCACCAUCAACCCUGCACCGGUACACUGCCUGCUGAAGGCUACUCGAGAGCUGACCAAAAAUCCGACUUUUCGG
rnacentral:lncRNA from 1 species